rnacentral:rRNA from 1 species
UCGCCUGUUUAUCAAAAACAUGUUUUUUUGAUUUUAAUUUAAAAUUUAGCCUGCCCUAUGACUAAUUGUUAAAUGGCUGCGGUAUAUUGACCGUGCAAAGGUAGCAUAAUCAUUUGUCUUUUAAUUGAAGGCUUGUAUGAAUGGCUGGAUGAGAAAUAAUCUUUCUUUAAAUUUAUUUUUUGAAUUUAAUUUUUAAGUUAAAAAGCUAAAAUUUUUAUAUAGGACGAGAAGACCCUAUAGAACUUUAUUGAUUUUUUUGUAGAUUGAUUUUUUGUAUAUUAUAUUUUUUUAUUUAAAUAUCAAUUUUGUUGGGGUGACAUAAAAAUUUUAUUAACUUUUUAUAAAUUUUUCACUAAUUAGUGUUUUUUUGAUCCAUAAUUUGUGAUUAUAAGAUUAAGUUACCUUAGGGAUAACAGCGUAAUUUUUUUGGAGAGUUCUUAUCGAUAAAAAAGUUUGCGACCUCGAUGUUGAAUUAAGAUUAGAUCCGGGUGCAGAAUUUCGGUUUUCUAGGUCUGUUCGACCUUUAAAUUCUUACAUGAUCUGAGUUCAAACCGGAGAA